GACGAACGCUGGCGGCGUGCCUAAUACAUGCAAGUUGAGCGCUGAAGGUUGGUACUUGUACCAACUGGAUGAGCAGCGAACGGGUGAGUAACGCGUGGGGAAUCUGCCUUUGAGCGGGGGACAACAUUUGGAAACGAAUGCUAAUACCGCAUAAAAACUUUAAACACAAGUUUUAAGUUUGAAAGAUGCAAUUGCAUCACUCAAAGAUGAUCCCGCGUUGUAUUAGCUAGUUGGUGAGGUAAAGGCUCACCAAGGCGAUGAUACAUAGCCGACCUGAGAGGGUGGUCGGCCACAUUGGGACUGAGACACGGCCCAAACUCCUACGGGAGGCAGCAGUAGGGAAUCUUCGGCAAUGGACGAAAGUCUGACCGAGCAACGCCGCGUGAGUGAAGAAGGUUUUCGGAUCGUAAAACUCUGUUGGUAGAGAAGAACGUUGGUGAGAGUGGAAAGCUCACCAAGUGACGGUAACUACCCAGAAAGGGACGGCUAACUACGUG
rnacentral:rRNA from 1 species